AAGGAUCAAACGGGGCAGGGGGCCCUAUCCCCAUCUCUGCCGGCGAGGGGGUGGGGAGGGGGAAGGGUCACGUGGCGCCCCGCCCACUGCGCUGCUGUUGCCCUAACAUGGAAAUAUCCACCUGGCCAGGUGUGCGCCGCCGCUGGAGGCGGGGCCUGGGAGGACGCGGAAGGAGGAGGAGGGAGGAGAGACGAGUCAGGAGGGAGGGCGAGGUAGAGCGAGGUUGACUGGGGACUGGGGAGAACGACGGUGGGCGGCUUUCCCCGAGCAGCAGUCCAGAGGGAGGACCCGGGGGAGCCGAGGAGCGGGCUGCGGCGCCGAAAACGCGUCCCGCAUUUUUUUACCUACUUUGGUGCGAUUCCCGCCGUCCUCCCCUGAUUGGCCCAGCCCGGCACCGUCGGGCCCUCGCGUGAGGGAAAAAUCUGCACAUUCUUCCCUCUUCCCGAGGCGACUGUGGCCAUUCAGAGUGCUCUGUGAGUCACCGCUAAUUUCAGCAAAGUUGGGACAAUUCUAAGCCUUUACCACCUGAUAUAAGACUUUUGCAGGCCAGAGCAGUGGCCUCAACUUGAAACAGAACUUGUUAAGGUGAUGCUAAUGCGGCUGGUUGGGCACCACGCUUUGAGAAGAACGAACCCACCUGUAUCACACUGCAGCUGGAACCCUUUGUUUCUCUGCCUGGGACUCAGCGGCCCCUCCACCUGUAAAGUCUUCAAAGAGGAACUCCUGCUGGAUGGCUGAGUCAGCCAAGCUCUGGGUUUCAGGGCAGAUCAUGAUCUCACGGUUUGUGAGUUCGAACUCUUGCAGAGUCUGCUUGGGACACUCUCUCUCUCUCUCUCUCUCUCUCUCUCUCUCUCUCUCCCCCUCCCCCCCCCUCUC